rnacentral:rRNA from 1 species
UACGUAGGGUGCAAGCGUUGUCCGGAAUUAUUGGGCGUAAAGCGCACGUAGGCGGACUUACAGGUCAAUUGUGAAAUACCUGAGCUCAACUCAGGAACUGCAGUUGAAACCGUUUGUCUUGAAUACCUGAGAGGGUGGGGGAAUACCUGGUGGAGAAGUGAAAUUCGUAGAGAUCAGGUGGAACACCGGAGGCGAAGGCGCCUGCCUGGCAGUGUAUUGACGCUGAGGUGCGAAAGUGCGGGGAGCAAACAGG